ACGUGAAGCACUACGGGCCUGGGUCGGCUCCCGGUUUAUAUCAAGAAUCUUAAAGAGAAGAUACCGCAGCUGAUUGUCCAACUAGCGGAAGAAAAUGGGAACUGGAGCGAAAGAAGAAGGAGCUCGCAGAUGAGACAGUGUGCAGAGAUGAUGAAGUCUGCUUCACACUUGGUUGUCGGAAAGAAAGUCCUGUCCAGUCUUGAACAAAUCAACUUCUUCCUUUUGUUCACAUGAAAGCAGAAGACCAAGGCUAUCC
rnacentral:lncRNA from 1 species